AGGUAGUGACGAAAAAUAACGAUACGGGACUCAUCCGAGGCCCCGUAAUCGGAAUGAGUACACUUUAAAUCCUUUAACAAGGAUCCAUUGGAGGGCAAGUCUGGUGCCAGCAGCCGCGGUAAUUCCAGCUCCAAUAGCGUAUAUUAAAGUUGUUGCGGUUAAAAAGCUCGUAGUUGAAUCUGUGUGCCACGCUGUCGGUUCACCGCUCGCGGUGUUACUGAUUGGCCAGUGGUACGUCCUACCGGUGGAUUCGGCUUCGCACCUUCGGGUGCGGGCGGUCCAAAUUGAAUCCCAUCGCGGUGCUCUUCACCGAGUGUCGAGGUGGGCCGGUACUUUUACUUUGAACAAAUUAGAGUGCUCAAAGCAGGCCUAAAAUAAGCCUGAAUAAUCUGUGCAUGGAAUAAUGAAAUAGGACCUCGGUUCUAUUUUGUUGGUUUUAAGAGCCCCGAGGUAAUGAUUAAUAGGGACAGAUGGGGGCAUUUGUAUUGCGACGUUAGAGGUGAAAUUCUUGGAUCGUCGCAAGACAAACAGAAGCGAAAGCAUUUGCCAAAAAUGUUUUCAUUAAUCAAGAACGAAAGUUAGAGGUUCGAAGGCGAUCAGAUACCGCCCUAGUUCUAACCAUAAACGAUGCCAGCUAGCGAUCCGCCGAAGUUCCUCCGAUGACUCGGCGGGCAGCU
rnacentral:rRNA from 1 species